rnacentral:rRNA from 1 species
CGCGUAGGUGGCCUUCUUAGUCAGACGUGAAAUCCCCAGGCUUAACCUGGGAACUGCGUCUGAUACUGGAAGGCUCGAGUUCGGGAGAGGAAUGUGGAAUUCCAGGUGUAGCGGUGAAAUGCGUAGAUAUCUGGAGGAACACCGGUGGCGAAGGCGGCGUUCUGGACCGAAACUGACGCUGAGGCGCGAAAGCCAGGGGAGCAAACG